AUUUAUAUAGUAUAAUAUGUAUAUAGUGAUUGUGUAGUUUGUAUAUUGUGUAUAUAUCAGCUGUAGUGAUGAAGAAUAAGAUGAAUGAUGAGAUUGUUGUGAUUUUUACUGCAUCUCACACGUCUGCUGCUGAAGUCAUGUUGAAAUGAUGUGAAUGCUGCAGGGCAGAAGAGUGCUGGAGCUGCAGUGUGUUUUCUCUGUGUUUGUGAAUGUGUUGUGUUUGUCUCCUGCAGCUGGUCCCACAGUGAAGCCCUCAGUGUCUCUGCUGCCCCCCUCUUCUCUGCAGAUCUCUGGAGACUCAGCCGCACUGCUCUGUCUGCUCAGCUCUUACUCUCCACAGGGGGCGCUGGUGAGCUGGACACUGGACGGCUCAGAGGUCACCGAGGGGGUUGUGACCAGCGCAGAAAGCGAGCAGGACGGCCGCUACAGCCGCAGUAGUGUCCUGACCCUCAGCAAAGCACGCUGGGAAGAGGGAGAGCUGUACGUCUGCAGAGUAACACAUGAUGGAGCUCCUCAUGAAGCCUCGUUCCACAAGAGUCGCUGUUAGUCGCUCGCAGUGCUGAUGUUUCUCCAGUGAGCGCUGCUCUCUCCUGAAGAUGAGUGUAUCUGAGUGUCCUGUGUCAGGCAGGAUUCACAUGAGUCUAGUGCUGCAGCUGUAGUCAUUUACAACUCAAUACUGAAAGAGAGCUCUAGUGUCAAAGCACUGGCUGAUCUUUCAAUCUGCUGUGUUUGCUGCAACAUUCAAUAAAGCUUCUCAACAAACUC